UCGGAAGAGGAUGGGCAUGCGGCGCAUUAGCUAGACGGCGGGGUAACGGCCCACCGUGGCGACGAUGCGUAGGGGUUCUGAGAGGAAGGUCCCCCACACUGGUACUGAGACACGGACCAGACUCCUACGGGAGGCAGCAGUGAGGAAUAUUGGUCAAUGGGAGAGAUCCUGAACCAGCCAAGCCGCGUGAGGGAAGACGGCCCUAUGGGUUGUAAACCUCUUUUGUCGGAGAACAAAACCCGGGACGUGUCCCGGACUGCGUGUAUCCGAAGAAAAAGCAUCGGCUAACUCCGUGCCAGCAGCCGCGGUAAUACGGAGGAUGCGAGCGUUAUCCGGAUUUAUUGGGUUUAAAGGGUGCGUAGGCGGUCCGUUAAGUCAGCGGUAAAAUUGCGGGGCUCAACCCCGUCGAGCCGUUGAAACUGGCAGACUUGAGUUGGCGAGAAGUACGCGGAAUGCGCGGUGUAGCGGUGAAAUGCAUAGAUAUCGCGCAGAACUCCGAUUGCGAAGGCAGCGUACCGGCGCCAGACUGACGCUGAGGCACGAAAGCGUGGGGAUCGAACAGGAUUAGAUACCCUGGUAGUCCACGCAGUAAACGAUGAAUGCUGGUUGUCCGGGUCGAAUGAGACCUGG
rnacentral:rRNA from 1 species